UUUGUCUUACUCUCCUGCAUUUGACCGAGAAAAUCUUUCGCCUUUUACUAAAGAUUUCCGUGCAGGAGAGUAUUCAUGAUUGUACAAGCAUUUUUUGGAAGCUCUGAAAAGGGCAGUGAU
rnacentral:snRNA from 1 species